rnacentral:rRNA from 1 species
AAUGAACGCUGGCGGCGCGCCUAAUACAUGCAAGUCGAGCGAGAAGACGUAGCAAUACGUUUGUAAGCGGCGAACGGGUGAGGAAUACGAUGGGUAACCUACCCUCGAGUGGGGAAUAACUAGCCGAAAGGUUAGCUAAUACCGCGUACGCUUCUUGGACUUCGGUUCAGGAGGAAAGCGAUGCCGAGGGUAUCGCGCUCUUGGAUGGGCUCAUGUCCUAUCAGCUUGUUGGGAGGUAACGGCUCACCAAGGCUUCGAUCGGUAG